UAGGGGAGACCAGGGCACCCUGGCCCUCCCACUUUUAAAAAGUGGACUGGCCUGGCCACUUUUUGCCACGGUCCCUCACCCCGCCUCUUCCCUGAGGCCCUGUCCCCCCAGCCAGGCUGGCAGAUGGAGCCCGGGCAAUGGGUGGCGCCACACCAUGAACCCUCCACCUGCCCAGGGUUUGGGGGCUGAGAGCAGCCCCUGGUCCAUGUCCCUGCCCUGGGCAGAUGGAGGGUCCGUGGCUCCUCACAGCUGCUUGGUCAUGAGGCUCUUACCAUGGCCAGGCUGUGGCUCUGAGGUGCCAUCCCCCAGCCGGAGCCAGGUCAGGGUAAGAGCCAUGCAGGCAGCUGUGGGGAGCCACAAACCUUCUACCUGCUUGGGAUGUGGGGGGGCACAGGUCAGGGAUACGGGCUGGGGGCUGCUUUUGGGUCUCAGCCCUCCCCAGGCAGGUGGAGGGUCCAUGGCUCCUGGCCCGCUCUGGCUUCCAGCUUGGCUGGGGCCUCAGGCAGAAGGGGCGGGGCCAGACAGAGAUAAACAUGUUACCUCCUGCCUGAAAGGAACAUGUCUGAGAUCCACAAAGAGAAGACCCACACUGCAGAUAAUACUGCUGAAAGACCUGACCGCAGGAGUCCAACUGUACAAGGCUCAAAGAGGAAAAAACUAAUAAAGGUAAUGCUGGUUUCUCAAAUGAGAAGCUUCGGAAACUCUGCCCAUCUGGUGGUGAUCUCCUGGAAGAAAGAACAAAACUGAAGAACGUUUCUGCAGAAAAAGCAUUAAGAGACAAUAAAUGCAGAACCAGAUGAUGGAAGGAGAACUAUGCUGAAAAGAAUCAUCCAUCCCUUUGACAGACCUAUGGACUGGCAGCAAGACCUUCCAAUAUUCAGCUGGCUGACAAUGGAUAGAAACACAUCUUUUAAAGAUACAGAAGAGACAAAGAACAGAUUGAUUUUCAAAUCCCAGCUGGAGUUGGCAGUUAUUGCAGUAAGAGGAAAAGACCAUUAACAAACCACAAACUCAUACUAACCUGAUGACAAGAUCUGACUGGCACACAGGUUUCUUACUGAACGUGGCACCGAACGAGCGUUUCCUUUGUACAGAUGAAGCCAUUAGCCAUUUAUAAUCCGCCUCAGAUGUGGUGGAUGCCAUGGGAGGAAUGAUUUGGGGUACCCCCUCUCUCAUCUUAUGGCUUUCUUUUCAUCAAGAAUCAUCUCCAGCUGAGGUUCAGGAGACAGAAAGUCUGUGUGGUUGGGAACCUGCAGCUGUUUCUUUGCCAAGAUGUAGAUUACUCACAUCCUCUUUCCUGCCAAAGAAUGGGCACUUAAACAGGCUUAUUGCAGAUGUACAAGUUGGGAGGCAUCAUCAAAACAGAUGAGGAUCAGAAUAUUAAACAGGAAGAUCUGGAUGAUUUUGAAGACCGGAGUGACAGAAAUGGGAUAAAACUCAAUAGGUCAAAGUCAUGCACUUAGGGUCCAAUAACAAUUUUUGCUACAAGCUGGGAGCUCCUCAGUUGGAAGUGACAGAAGUGGAGAGAACCCUGGAUGUGAGGGGCAAUCACAGGAUAACCAUGAACUACCAACAUAAGGCGGCUGUGAAAAAAGCAAAUGGGAUCGGAUCUAAGCUGCAUCAAAUGAGAGGUUUCAAGUACAGAUAGAGAAGUAUUAAUGCCAUUGUACAAUGAACUGGAGCAGUAGGGCACUGGGCAACAGACUGCUAUCAAGAGUUGCAGGAAUGGAAAAAAAUAAGAGUUCAAAGUCUCUUUCACAAGUUUCAAAUCAACUCUGUGCUGUUUCACAAAUGGGAGAUCUGCUGCAGAAUCUCUUAAGCUGGUGCAAGGAGUGCUGCAUCUACCAGCGGACCCUGAGCAGAAUUUCAGCACAGAAGAAAAAAAGAUUUCCCACCCCACUGGGGCAAAAGCUUGUUCAGCUGGUUGAAAAUCAAAC